GCCGGAAUAGCUCAGCUGGUAGAGCAAUCGCUUCGUAAGCGAUGGGUCGUAGGUUCGAAUCCUAUUUCCGGCACCA
rnacentral:tRNA from 1 species